rnacentral:rRNA from 1 species
CAGCAGCCGCGGUAAAACGUAGGGUGCGAGCGUUAGUCGGAAUUACUGGGCGUAAAGCGUGCGCAGGCGGCUUUGCAAGACAGAUGUGAAAUCCCCGGGCUCAACCUGGGAACUGCAUUUGUGACUGCAAGGCUAGAGUACGGUAGAGGGGGAUGGAAUUCCGCGUGUAGCAGUGAAAUGCGUAGAUAUGCGGAGGAACACCAAUGGCGAAGGCAAUCCCCUGGACCUGUACUGACGCUCAUGCACGAAAGCGUGGGGAGCAAACAGGAUUAGAUACCCCGGUAGUCCCUGUCUCUUAUAC